UACGUAGGGUCCAAGCGUUAAUCGGAAUUACUGGGCGUAAAGCGUCCGCAGGUGGCUUGAUAAGAUAGACGUGAAAUCCCUGGGCUCAACCUAGGAAUUGCGUUUAUGACUGUCUCGCUAGAGUAUGGGAGAGGGGGGUGGAAUUCCACGUGUAGCAGUGAAAUGCGUAGAGAUGUGGAGGAACACCGAUGGCGAAGGCAACCCCCUGGCCUAAUACUGACACUCAUGGACGAAAGCGUGGGGAGCAAACAGGAUUAGAUACCCUGGUAGUCCACGCCCUAAACGAUGUCUACUAGUUGUUGGGCUUUUCGGAGCUUAGUAACGCAGCUAACGCGUGAAGUAGACCGCCUGGGGAGUACGGUCGCAAGACUA
rnacentral:rRNA from 1 species